UGUGACCUGCCUGUUUCUCAGUUUCCUCU
rnacentral:piRNA from 1 species